rnacentral:ncRNA from 1 species
UUGAUUCUUGAAGGGAUUCGUUCUUAGUACGAGAGGACCAGAACGAACGGACCUCUGGUGUACCUGCUGUCCUGCCAAGGGCACAUCUAAGCGGGAAACCGCCCCUAAGAUGAGGAAUCGAGCGUGCGAAGCACGCAGACCGUUAACUUUUGACCUUUGACUGCUAACAGUUAAAAGUCAAUGGUUAAUUGUUCGCGCGCUUCGCGCGCGCAGGCCCGUCGGAGAUGACGACGUUGAUAGGCGCUAGGUGUACGCACAGUAAUGUGUUUAGCCGAGGCGUACUAAUCGGCCGA